rnacentral:tRNA from 1 species
GGAGGAGUGGCCGAGUGGUCGAAGGCAGCGGUUUUGAAAACCGCCGAACUCGAAAGGGUUCCAGGGGUUCGAAUCCCUUCUCCUCCG